AAAAAAUGAACUUUGAUUUAAAUCGUGAUUUUUUUUCCAAAAAAGUCAGGUGAUCUAAAUCAUGAUUGAAAUCACUUGAAAAAAAUCAAACCAACCCUGAUUCCAAUCAUGUCCUUUUAGGGCGGAUUUAAUUAUCUAAUGAAAGAAAAAAUGGAGUUUUCUUGUCAAAGUAACUUUUAAAACGCGUUGAUUUUUUGGCGCUUUCAAGAUUUUCCGAAGACGAUUUAGGGACAAAAUUGUCUUUAAAAUGUAUAAAAGAGCACACUCUAACCAAAAAAAAAACUGCUGGAAAAACCCUCGGACAAACGGCAGUAGAUUCUGUCCAUACAGUUUCUGAAAAAUCCAUAAACCCUCCUUGAUAUAGUUCUUCCUUUGUUCAAUACGAAAACAAACAAGUUUUGCUUAUUUUGCAUAUACUUAUUGCAAUAUUUAUUUUUUAUUUACCCCCCAGUAAGCAUUCCCUCACUGGAAACACAACUUCAAUAAUGAAGCGUUUUAGCCAAAAACCACAUUGCGGUUUGAACAUCAUGGGCUAUCAAUAACUCGGAAAAAACAUGGACAGCGAUUGGUUGAGCCCACACUAAACCGCAUUCCCAUAUCAUAUCCACUUUAUCUCGUAACCAACAUGAAUGUGUGCAUUUCGUCCGCCCGUUGAGCGCAAAAACCAUCCCCUCAUUUUUGAAAUAUUGCGCCCUCACUUAGGUAAACACAAAAAUGUGGUUCGGCACCCCUCUGCGCUUUAAAGAUAAUUCGCAGCUUGGUGUUUUCUCUGGAACGGCCUGGAAAUGGAUAAUGGUUAAAGCGAGUGGAAAGCGGCAGGARAAUGGRAUUUUUUUUGAGGGAUAUUAACGACUGUACGCCAACAACAACCAGUCAGGAUGCACAUCAACUGAGGCAAUGUUGUCCUACCGGACGUGUGAUUGAAGAAAAUUGUCCCCAUCUGUUGCAAUCCAUGCAAUAACUACUGUUCAAGUACGGGUUUUUCCGCAUAAUUGACUAAUGAUACCCAUUGCAGAGAUGCCGAAGGAUGACGCAUUUUUCAGUAGUAAAAGAUCUGUCAGGCCGAAGAUGAGAAUAAUGCGAACGGAUUGUUAUAAGCAGCCUCGACCAGAUGAGGAGCAACACUUUGGUGCAUUUUUCCGACGUCAGCGGCAAUUUGUUACUCUUGGAUAAAUGACCAUUUAAUAAUCCAUUCUAAUAGGCGAGCAUUAUCGUUCCCUGAUGCCAUCAAUAUGUGUCAGCCUUGAUCUUGGCAAUGUUCCGACAUUUUAAUGGGGAGAAUGUUUGCAGACGAAAUCCAAACCUCGAAACUUUCGAUCUGCUGCCCGAAUUUAAUGCAACUAAUCCGGUUAAAUUCGCACCACCAUUAGCGACUAACCAGGCAGAAUAUCAAAGAGUCAAACUUGAAUCAAUGUGAAUUGGAAUCGGGAAUGCUAGAAAACGGCGUCUAUCAGUGCA